AUCAAUAAGCGGAGGAAAAGAAAAUAACAAUGAUUCCCCUAGUAACGGCGAGUGAAGAGGGAAAAGCUCAAGUUUGGAAGCUUCGUGGCAUAGCUACGACGCGUUGUAAACUGAAGUUUUUUGGGUGAUUGGGCGACCGGAUAAAUAAGUCCUUUGGAAAGGGGCAACAUAGAGGGUGACAUUCCCGUCUUUGGUCCGAGUCAGUGCAGUCGCUGCCCAGGAAACGACGAGUCAGGUUGUUUGGGAAUGCAGCCUAAAAUGGGAGGUAAAUCUCUCCUAAAGCUAAAUACUGGCGUAAGACCGAUAGCGAACAAGUACCGUGAGGGAAAGAUGAAAAGGACUUUGAAAAGAGGGUCAAAUAGUACGUGAAAUUGUUGAAAGGGAACCGUAUGAAAGUAGACUGGCUUGGUGAUGAUCAAUGUGUGUUUCGGCACGCAUGCACUCAUUGCCUUUGCCAGCCAGCGGCAGUUUUUGCUAAAGGAAGAAAAUCAGGGGAAUGUAGCUUCGAUUUCGGUUGAAGUGUUAUAGCUCCUGGUAAAAUACUUUGGCAGAGACUGAGGCUAGCAGCGGAUCUUUGGGAACUUUGCGCGCUUGUCGUCCAAUGGUUAAGUUUUCUUCGGAUGCUUGGUCAUUGGGUGGCAACUCGUGUGAUGCUUCACCCUUCCGCUUAGGUCGCUGGCGUAAUGCUUUUAUAUGACCCGUCUUGAAACACGGACCAAGGAGUCCACGUAUAGAGCGAGUCGUUGGGUGGCAAACCCAAAGGCGAAGUGAAAGCGAUUGGGAAGAAACUGUUACAGGUGGCACUCCCGGGGGGAUAUGACGUUUUAUACAGAUUGACCUCACCCAAAGCUCUAUGCAUGGGACCCGAAAGAUGGUGAACUAUACUUGAAUAGGGUGAAGCCAGAGGAAACUCUGGUGGAGGCUCGUAGCGAUUCUGACGUGCAAAUCGAUCGUCGAAUUUGAGUAUAGGGGCGAAAGACUAAUCGAACCAUC
rnacentral:rRNA from 1 species